rnacentral:rRNA from 1 species
CUGUUCCCUUGAGGAGUGGCUUCCGGAAGCUAACGCGUUAAGUAGACCGCCUGGGGAGUACGGCCGCAAGGUUAAAACUCAAAUGAAUUGACGGGGGCCCGCACAAGCGGUGGAGCAUGUGGUUUAAUUCGAUGCAACGCGAAGAACCUUACCUACUCUUGACAUCCAGAGAACUUAGCAGAGAUGCUUUGGUGCCUUCGGGAACUCUGAGACAGGUGCUGCAUGGCUGUCGUCAGCUCGUGUUGUGAAAUGUUGGGUUAAGUCCCGCAACGAGCGCAACCCUUAUCCUUUGUUGCCAGCGGUUCGGCCGGGAACUCAAAGGAGACUGCCAGUGACAAACUGGAGGAAGGUGGGGAUGACGUCAAGUCAUCAUGGCCCUUACGAGUAGGGCUACACACGUGCUACAAUGGCGCAUACAAAGAGAAGCAACCUCGCGAGAGCAAGCGGACCUCAUAAAGUGCGUCGUAGUCCGGAUCGGAGUCUGCAACUCGACUCCGUGAAGUCGGAAUCGCUAGUAAUCGUGGAUCAGAAUGCCACGGUGAAUACGUUCCCGGGCCUUGUACAUUCUACCGAUCACACCAUGGGAGUGGGUUGCAAAAGA